AACGGCCGUACCAUGCUGAUUAUACCGGUUCUCGUUAGAUCACCGAAGUCAAGCAUCAUUGGACGCAGUACUUGGGUGGUACUUGUAGUACUUGGGUGGGUGACCACCUGGGAACACCGUGUG